GACGAACGCUGGCGGCGUGCUUAACACAUGCAAGUCGAGCGGUAAGGCCCUUUCGGGGGUACACGAGCGGCGAACGGGUGAGUAACACGUGGGUGACCUGCCCUCAGCUCUGGGAUAAGCCUGGGAAACUGGGUCUAAUACUGGAUAUGACUCCACGGUGCAUGUCGUGGGGUGGAAAGCCUUGUGCGGCUGAGGAUGGGCCCGCGGCCUAUCAGCUUGUUGGUGGGGUGANGGCCUACCAAGGCGACGACGGGUAGCCGGCCUGAGAGGGCGACCGGCCACACUGGGACAGAGACACGGCCCAGACUCCUACGGGAGGCAGCAGGUGGGGAAUCUUGCGCAAGUGGGCGAAAGCCUGACGCAGCGACGCCGCGUGA
rnacentral:rRNA from 1 species